UGAAGGCAGUGAGUGGCACAUAUCUGGGU
rnacentral:piRNA from 1 species